rnacentral:rRNA from 1 species
AGAGUUUGAUCCUGGCUCAGGAUGAACGCUAGCGGCAGGCUUAACACAUGCAAGUCGAGGGGCAGCAUAAUGGAUAGCAAUAUCUAUGGUGGCGACCGGCGCACGGGUGCGUAACGCGUAUGCAACCUACCUUUAACAGGGGGAUAACACUGAGAAAUUGGUACUAAUACCCCAUAACAUCAUGAAAGGCAUCUUUUAUGGUUGAAAAUUCCGAUGGUUAGAGAUGGGCAUGCGUUGUAUUAGCUAGUUGGUGAGGUAACGGCUCACCAAGGCGACGAUACAUAGGGGGACUGAGAGGUUAACCCCCCACACUGGUACUGAGACACGGACCAGACUCCUACGGGAGGCAGCAGUGAGGAAUAUUGGUCAAUGGACGCAAGUCUGAACCAGCCAUGCCGCGUGCAGGAAGACGGCUCUAUGAGUUGUAAACUGCUUUUGUACGAGGGUAAACGCACAUACGUGUAUCUGCCUGAAAGUAUCGUACGAAUAAGGAUCGGCUAACUCCGUGCCAGCAGCCGCGGUAAUACGGAGGAUUCAAGCGUUAUCCGGAUUUAUUGGGUUUAAAGGGUGCGUAGGCGGUUUGAUAAGUUAGAGGUGAAAUGUUAGGGCUCAACCCUGAAACUGCCUCUAAUACUGUUGGACUAGAGAGUAGUUGCGGUAGGCGGAAUGUAUGGUGUAGCGGUGAAAUGCUUAGAGAUCAUACAGAACACCGAUUGCGAAGGCAGCUUACCAAACUAUAUCUGACGUUGAGGCACGAAAGCGUGGGGAGCAAACAGGAUUAGAUACCCUGGUAGUCCACGCAGUAAACGAUGAUAACUCGUUGUCGGCGAUACACAGUCGGUGACUAAGCGAAAGCGAUAAGUUAUCCACCUGGGGAGUACGUUCGCAAGAAUGAAACUCAAAGGAAUUGACGGGGGCCCGCACAAGCGGAGGAACAUGUGGUUUAAUUCGAUGAUACGCGAGGA